CAGAUAAUGUCUAUUUUAGGGGGGUCUUUAUUUUACAGUGUCAAAGCAANCAAAAUUAACAUUAAGCAUUCAGGUAUAUAUUUUGGAUCAAGUUUGGAUUACUGUGCUUAUUUGCACUGCCAUAGUAUUAGCUUUUUUUUUCUUUCUUUUUUUUUAACAGUUCAUCUACAGUUUUAUCAUUUAAACCUAACAAAUAUGUGUAUUUGUGUUAUUGCUCUUAAAAUAAAUGCAACUUUUAUGGUAUUCUAUUCAAUGCAGUGAUAUUAAUAUACGCUUCUAAUACUGUUCGAGGCCAGUGUUUCAUAAUAAUAGAUUAUUCCUUUAAACCAGUCGUAUGGACCGAGUCUUGAUUUUGUCGUGAGGAGUGCAGCUGUGGUCAGGCAGAGGUUAAUGGUUCCGCGCUCUGGCGGCUGGGCAGGCGCGGAGCUGCGGCGCUCUGACGCGGGGAUGGAGAGCUCAGAGAUGCGCUGCUGCUGCUGCUCCGACAGGAUCCCGCGGCCUGCUGCUUUCUCCGCUCUUCUGCGCCGAAGCUUUAAAUCACGGUUCAUCAGGCAUUUCCUGGACUUCCUAGUUUCUUGGCCCAGUCCAGCUGUGAGUACACCUGCUCCGCUCGGAGAUUCAGCUCGCUUUCCCAUGACGGCUGGAGUCAAUUAACGGCUCAGAAAAACCACCGUGUUGAGGUGAAUUUAGAUGCAACUGUCUGCCGAGUGAAGGAAAAGAGCCCAGCGCUGCAGUGACAGGUACAUAUGAACACUGCCAGAAUCCAACAGUCACACAUUCACGUCCUUGUUGAUUCGUCACAAGCCGAGGCAGAGCUGAGUAAGCUGGCGGACAGCCAUGUUGAAUCAGUGCUUCAUCAUACAGGCGUUAUGCAGUGGAGAUGAAAUGUGGUAUUUUCUGUUCUUUGUGUAGCUGUCUUCACCGUGUGGGUUAGAAACAAGGGGAACGUGUUGUGAAUCACUCAUGGGAUUUGGCCCAGCAUUCCCGUAACGCUGGAAAAUAGGCUUAAAAAUGCUGUUUUUGGCAUGGAGCAGCAGGUACGUUAAUGCACUGUCAAGGACUCAACUUCGCUUAUGUUCUUCUGUCUUAUAUCAAGCACGCUGAGUGUCAUCUGUAAUCUGCGAUGAUGUACAGUAGGAUCUGCAAUCUAUAGUGGAGCAUGUAACAUUUCCGGAUAAGGUCGUCCAUUAGUGUGGUCCCAUAAAAUACCACAAUACAUGGUCAUUCAGCUGCCUGCAUUUUUUUUUUUACAUACUCUAAAAAAAAAAAAAAAAAAAAAAAAAAAAAAAAAAAAUCUUAGUGAGUACUUUUGUCUUCUGCAGGAAAAAUGCAGUAAAUAUCCCUAAAACAAUAUUUUCUGUGCAAGUCAUAUUGUGUAAAUUAACACAUUAUUAAUAUUGGGACAUCAUUUUUUUCAGAAAAUAUUUAAUGAAUUGGGUUUAUUUUUCUUGCCAUAUUUGUCACGUUUUCUUUUUUCUGUCUUGCUUUUUUCCCGCAUUUUUUUCAAAAAAUGUUUGACUUAAAAUAAAAAUAGUGAUACUCUCA
ensembl:lncRNA